rnacentral:rRNA from 1 species
UACAGAGGGUGCGAGCGUUAAUCGGAAUUACUGGGCGUAAAGCGCGCGUAGGCGGCUUUGCAAGUCGGGUGUGAAAUCCCCAGGCUUAACCUGGGAACUGCAUUCGAGACUGCAUUGCUAGAGUAUGGGAGAGGGAAGUGGAAUUUCCGGUGUAGCGGUGAAAUGCGUAGAUAUCGGAAGGAACAUCAGUGGCGAAAGCGACUUCCUGGACCAAUACUGACGUUCAGGCACGAAAGCGUGGGGAGCAAACAGG